AGCGAACGCUGGCGGCAGGCCUAACACAUGCAAGUCGAGCGCCGUAGCAAUACGGAGCGGCAGACGGGAGAGUAACACGUGGGAACGUAUCCUUCAGUACGGAACAACCAAGGGAAACUUUGGCUAAUACCGUAUACGUCCGUAAGGAGAAAGAUUUAUCGCUGAAGGAUCGGCCCGCGUCUGAUUAGCUAGUUGGUGAGGUAACGGCUCACCAAGGCGACGAUCAGUAGCUGGUCUGAGAGGAUGAUCAGCCUCACUGGGACUGAGACACGGCCCAGACUCCUACGGGAGGCAGCAGUGGGGAAUAUUGGACAAUGGGCGCAAGCCUGAUCCAGCCAUGCCGCGUGGGUGAUGAAGGCCCUAGGGUUGUAAAGCCCUUUCGGCGGGGAAGAUAAUGACGGUACCCGCAGAAGAAGCCCCGGCUAACUUCGUGCCAGCCGCCGCCGUAA
rnacentral:rRNA from 1 species